rnacentral:rRNA from 1 species
GAUGAACGCUGGCGGCGUGCCUAAUACAUGCAAGUAGAACGCUGAAGGAGGAGCUUGCUCUUCUGGAUGAGUUGCGAACGGGUGAGUAACGCGUAGGUAACCUGCCUGGUAGCGGGGGAUAACUAUUGGAAACGAUAGCUAAUACCGCAUGACAACAGUUAUUGCAUGAUAACUGUUUAAAAGGGGCAACUGCUCCACUACCAGAUGGACCUGCGUUGUAUUAGCUAGUUGGUGAGGUAACGGCUCACCAAGGCGACGAUACAUAGCCGACCUGAGAGGGUGAUCGGCCACACUGGGACUGAGACACGGCCCAGACUCCUACGGGAGGCAGCAGUAGGGAAUCUUCGGCAAUGGACGGAAGUCUGACCGAGCAACGCCGCGUGAGUGAAGAAGGUUAUCGGAUCGUAAAGCUCUGUUGUAAGAGAAGAACGAGUGUGAGAGUGGAAAGUUCACACUGUGACGGUAUCUUACCAGAAAGGGACGGCUAACUACGUG